UACGAAGGGGGCUAGCGUUGCUCGGAAUCACUGGGCGUAAAGGGUGCGUAGGCGGGGCUUUAAGUCAGGGGUGAAAUCCUGGAGCUCAACUCCGGAACUGCCUUUGAUACUGGCAACCUAGAGGCUGGAAGAGGUUAGUGGAAUUCCCAGUGUAGAGGUGAAAUUCGUAGAUAUUGGGAAGAACACCAGUGGCGAAGGCGGCUAACUGGUCCAGAUCUGACGCUGAGGUGCGAAAGCGUGGGGAGCAAACAGG
rnacentral:rRNA from 1 species